rnacentral:lncRNA from 1 species
UGGCUAUCAUAUUGUCAGUCCAGAGGUUCAGAUCCCCUAAAUAUAUCUUAAACCCUGACACCAACUACAACUUCAGCACAGUAGCAUGAAAGUCUUAUGAAGAGAGAUCCCAUCUGAGUCCAGAUUCAUCACGCAUAAACACCAGCUCCAAAGAAGGGCCAUCUGACAUGGUAGUGAACCCCAUCUGCCAUGACCAUAGCACCCAUGGGCCUCUUUAGCCCUCAAAGGAACCAAUACCUGGGGGUUGUAUCUACUUUAUCUGUCUCUUAGACUCUGCUCAGUUGUGCAUAAGGGCAAUCCUUCUGACAGCCUCCAGACUCUUUUUUAGAGACUCGUAGCCAUAUAAACUCAUUUCUCCUUUCCAUUUCCCCCUUAGAUUCUUCAAAUUUAGAAGGAGUUGGCUCUUUGAAGGAGGUGGUGGGCCUGAGAAUCUUGGUUGUAUACAAAUCUCAGGCAGAAGGCAUAACUGAAAUAAAGAGUACUGGAAAAAAAGAAGAAGGAAGAUGGUAUACACCAAAAAAGCCAGCUGCUAAAGAACUAUGGGGCCUGCAAUCUGUUUAGAUCAAUACUCAAGUGAGAAAGGUCAGAAG